rnacentral:lncRNA from 1 species
UGUUCAGGGGAUGGGUAUCCAAUCCCUACAGCAUAUCAGUGAUGAUCAGGGAGAUUAGCUGAAGAUAAGUAAAAAACAACUGACCAGUCUAGAAAAGCCAUCAGUAAAAACAGAUCACAGGAGACUUUUGUGGCAGGAAUCCACUCCUAUGUUCCUGGUAAUCUGAUCCUGCUCCAUGAGGAUUAAUAUAUCUUUCAAGUAUCAACCCACGAGGAUUAACGGAGCAGUAUCAGGUUAUCAGGAACAUAGUAGUGGAUUCCUGUCCCAACUAAAUUGAU